UCCCUGGUAGUCUAGUGGCUAAGACUCCACACUCCCAAUGCAGGAGGCCUGGGUUCAAAACCUGGUCAGGAAA
rnacentral:tRNA from 1 species